rnacentral:lncRNA from 1 species
CAACUUCUUCACAUACACCGGUUUCCGCGCCCUUACUGUACCAAACAUACAACCCUCAUUUUUCGUGGCAUUGAAAGCAAGCAAAAAAGAAUUUCCAGCUCUUGAUGGACAAAGUGUAUCAUAUGCUGCUCUAAUGUACCCACCUGGAACCAUCAAUCCACCACAUACACACCCUCGUUCAGCCGAGCUACUCUUCCUCGUUAAAGGUUCCCUUAAUGUUGGUUUUGUUGACACAACCAAUAAGCUAUUCACUCAGACACUACAACCUGGUGACAUGUUUGUGUUUCCAAAGGGACUUGUUCAUUUUCAAUUCAAUUCUAAUACUACAAAAUCUGCUUUAGCUUUUUCGGCCUUUGGUAGUGCUAAUGCUGGAACUAUUUCAAUUGCUAGCACAUUGUUUAACUCUACCAUUGAUGACAAUGUCUUGGCUCUGGCUUUCAAGACUGAUGUUGCAACCGUUCAAACUUUGAAGAAAGGAUUUUCUUCUUAAGGAUUAUGAUAAUGGCUUGAACAUGUGAACUUUCUUUCAAAUUUCAAUAUUAAUUAUUGCUUUUUUUUCUUUGCUUUUACCUGUUGUAAUAAAUAAUUCAAUGAUUGUUUUUUAAAAGGUUGUGAGAUGUGAAAUUGUUGAUGUAACAAUAUCUGUUAAUGUAAUCACCUGAAAUAAUAAAAGACGGUUUGUGUUACCGAUUUCCAAUGUAUCAGCAGUAUUGUUGAUAUUACUUAUAGGUAGAUGUUUUCAAUUAAGAUUGCUUAAAAAAAGUUAUUUGCUCCAAUAUUAUUAUUUGACCAAUUUUUACUUAUAUUUGAGACUGCAUCACUAUAGAUCAGAGUGGUCAAUCCAGAAUAGCAAGAUAGUGUAUAGCAUAUGAUAAAUAGUAGGAUGGUCGUUAUUUGAUCAUUUUUUGGGAUAAAUUACAUGAAUAAUACUAUAAAGUAUAAAUAAACAUAUAUUUAAUAUAAAAUUAAACAUAACACUGAACUAAUUUAGUUUAAUUCUUUGAAAUUAAGCAUAUUGGUGUUAGUAGAUUAAUAAAAUUAAGGCUUAAUUGAUCAUUAGGUCCCUUAAUUUAUUUUUAUUUUUUUCAGUUUCGUCCCCCAACUAUUAAAUGUUUCAAAUAGGUCCCUUAUUUAUGCUGCCGUUCAUCAUAUUGGUCCUCUCUGUUAAAUUUUUAACUCUAAAUCUUUUAGGUGGACCGGCAUUGUAAAUGGUCCACUAUAAACCUUAUUAAAUUUUUUAAUUUAAACUCUUUGAUCUUUUUUACAAAGACGACACCGUUGGAUCAUAUAAAGUUUAUUAUAUCGUACGGUGAACCACCACCACCUAAUUUUUUUUUGCUAUUCUACAUCUUCUUCCCUAAUCUUUUUCUUCAUCUUCAUCAUAAUCAUCUUCAUUCACCUUCAUCAAUCACAUCCUCCAGAAAGAAGAAAAAAAACGAGAUGUUGAUGAAUCAUUUUUCAUGUUCACAUCUAUGAUCUCUCUUCAAAUUUGCCCUUAUAAAUCAUAACAACAACACUAAUAUCACAUCUUGUCUCAACAAUCUCCAACUCUUCUUCACCACCGCAUAAAAAAAUUAGAUACCGGUGGUUCACUAUUAUAUACAGUGGACCUACAAUCCAACAGUCAUAAUCAUAUUAAAAAUAUUAGACAUUAAAAAACUAUCUGAGAGUACCAAAAUAGAUAACGACAUAAUACAUAAGGGACCAAUUUGAAACGUUUUUUUAGUUAAGGGACCAUUGUGAAAUAAAGAAUUAAGUUAAGGGACCGGAUGAUCAAUUAAGCCUAAAAUUAAACACAUCACUAGUAGUUGAAAAAAACACAUCACAAUAUUCAACAAAUAUCGACUGAUCUCACUAAUUUAAUCUAUAAACCCUAAAACAUCAUGAAAAUUUUGUGAAAUUCAUAGUUCAGAUUCGAUAAUCCAUCAUGUAAACACUUAAAUCCACAAUUCUACACAGAGGAACAAAGAAAAGAUAGAACGGGAAAAGAUAGAACGAGAGGAAGAAGAGAAAGAAAAAACGAACAAAGGAACGAAGAAAAAUGAGGAAGAAGCAAUGGAUCACAAUCAGAGACGACUCUACAUAGUGAUGAGAUUUUGGAGCUGAAAGGAGGAAGAAAAGAGAAAGUAUUUGGAUCUGCAAAGUGUUUCGCGGUGCACAAAAAGAGAGAAAGUGCAUAAAGUUUCUAGGGUUUAAGGAAAAUCUAAAAAAUAAGAGGAAAAUAUAGAUAUUUUUUAAAAUCAUAGGUGAUUUCAAAAUUUUCCAUUUUAAACAAUAUAGAGGUUUUAGAACCGCUAGUCCGCUACUGCUCCGAGAUCCGCUACGCACCGUUCCGCUGCUAUAGUAGUUGAAACGGCCACAAUUUGAAACCGCAAUGAUGUAUAUUUUGAUAUGUAAGCAGGAUCAUAUUGGUGGAUGAUCCUUAAGUAUUUGUCAGUCCUUGCCGAACAUUGGUCUGUCUUAAUUCUGAUGAAUCUCCGAAGUCCAACUCACAUGAACUAAAACAAAUGUAUAUUUUGAUGAAACGAAAAUUAGUUCUUUAGGGAGUAUUCAAUAGUGAGUGUCAUAUCAUUAUAAUUUGGCUUCAAACUGCUCACAAGGGAAAGGUCAAUCUUUUUAAAAUUGAGAGGAAAAAAUUAUGAAUGAAACAAAAUAGAGUACCAAAGCUGUAUUUAUGUCUUACUUUUAUUUUAGGGUUAUUUGUGUUUUGGUCCAUAAAAUUUGGGCUAGUAUUGGUUUUAGUCCCUUGGAAUUUUAUAUCUUUAGAUUAUGUGCAUGGUAUUCAGCAGGUUUGGAUUUGUUUGACUAUAUGAGUAAAUUAAAUUUUACCAUUGUCAAAAACCAAACUCACGAGUAAUGACUACUAGUACUUGAUUAUGGAGUAUUUACACACAACUUUGUCAAGAAUCAAAUAAACUUGAAGUUUGAGUUGAUAGAUAAAAGCUUCAGAAUUAGUUCAAAACUUUAACAUACGUUUUUCACAAUUUAGUUUAUCAGACUUUGGAACACAGUGCGCAAAAGAACAGCUUAAAUUCUUUUCACACCUAAACAUUAGUUCCUAUGCACGUCAUAUAAACAUAACUUAUUUACAUGGUUCAAUAUAUAAUGUAAUUAACAUUCUUAAUUAUUGUAACUAUAAUUAAAAAAUUCAUUUACUAUAUACUAUACCAUAUAUCUCCAAAAAAUCAUUCGGCACAAAACAGUUGCAGACAGAAAAUAAAAGUAUAAAACUACCUUGAAAUCUCCAUGCAUGUUACGAUGCAAAUUACAUAUAAAAAGAAACCACUAUAAAUACAUCAUUCCUCAAAUUUGUAAAAACACAUAUCUUUGAUUCAUUGAUCUAGCUUUUCCUCAAUAACCUCAAAUUUUGAACAUUCCAUCAAAUCAUACACAAUGUCUUCUUCCACAGCUUCAAAACUCCUCACACUAAUCAUAUCUGCAUUUGCCAUUGUGCAAAUAACACUAGCUGGUGAUCCAGACAUCCUUACUGACUUCAUAGCCCCAAAUGGAACCCAAGUUGAUGGCAACUUCUUCACAUACACCGGUUUCCGCGCCCUUACUGUACCAAACAUACAACCCUCAUUUUUCGUGGCAUUGAAAGCAAGCAAAAAAGAAUUUCCAGCUCUUGAUGGACAAAGUGUAUCAUAUGCUGCUCUAAUGUACCCACCUGGAACCAUCAAUCCACCACACACACACCCUCGUUCAGCCGAGCUACUCUUCCUCGUUAAAGGUUCCCUUAAUGUUGGUUUCGUUGACACAACCAACAAGCUAUACACUCAAACACUUCAACCCGGUGACAUGUUUGUGUUUCCAAAGGGACUUGUUCAUUUUCAAUUCAAUUCUAAUACUACAAAAUCUGCUUUAGCUUUUUCGGCCUUUGGUAGUGCUAAUGCUGGAACUAUUUCAAUUGCUAGCACAUUGUUUAACUCUACCAUUGAUGACAAUGUCUUGGCUCUGGCUUUCAAGACUGAUGUUGCAACCGUUCAAACUUUGAAGAAAGGAUUUUCUUCUUAAGGAUUACGAUAAUGGCUUGAACAUGUGAACUUUCUAUCAAUACUGUUUUUUUUUUCCUUCCUGUUAUAAUAAAUAAUUCAGUGAUUCUUUCAAUAAGGUUGUGAGAUGUGAAAUGGUUGAUGUAACUAUUUCUGUUAUUGUAAUCACCUGAAAUAACAAAAAACGGUUUGUGUUACCGAUUUCCAAUGUAUCAGUAUUGUUGAUAUAGGUGGAUGAUUGCUCAAAAAAAAAGUUAUUUGCUCCAACAUUAUUUGACCAAUUUUUACUUAUAUUUGAUACUGAAUCACUAUAGAUCAGAGUAGUCAAUCCAGGAAAGCGGCUGACCCCAAAAGUGGGAUAGCAAGAUAGCGUAUAGCAUAUGACAAGUAGCGGGAUGAUCGUUAUUUGAUCAAUUUUUUGGAUAAAUUACAUGAAAUUUAAUAUAAAAUUAAACAUAAAACUGAACUAAUUUAGUUUAAUUCUUCAAAAUUAAGCAUAAUGGUUUUAGUAGAUUAAUAAAAUUAAACACAUCACUAGUAGUUGAAAAAAAAAAUCACAAUAUUCAACAAAUAUCGACUGAUCUCACUAAUUUGAUCUAUAAAUCCUAAAACAUCAUGAAAAUUUUGUGAAAAUUCAUAGUUCAGAUUCGAUAAUCCAUCAUGUAAAAAUUUAAAUUCACAAUUCUACACAGAGGAACAAAGAAAAUAAAAACGGGAAAAGAUAGAACGAGAGGAAGAAGAGAAAGAAAAAAAAAACGAAUGGACGAACUAAAGGAACGAAGAAAAAUGAGGAAGAAGCAAUGGAUCGAAAUCGACGAUGACUCUGCGUAGUGACAAGAUUUUUGAUUUGAAAGGAGGAAGAAAAGAGAAAGUAUUUGGAUGCAAAGUGUUUUGCGGUGCACAAAAAGAACGAAUGUGCAUAAAGUUUAUAGGGUUUAAGAAAAAUCUCAAAAAUGAAGAGGAAAAGAUAGAUAUUUUUUUAUAAUCAUGGACGAUUUCAAAAAUUCCCAUUUUAAAUAAUAUAGAGGUUUUAGAACCGCUACUCCUCUGAGAUUCGCUACACACCGUUCCACUGCUAUAGCAAUUGAAACGACCACAAUUUGAAACCGCAAUGCUACGACUUAUACCGUAGCGGUCCGACGCCGCUUCGCAACGGGCGGCCGCUAUCAACAACUAUAUAUGGUAUAUAUUAAUGUAUAUUUUGAUAUGUAAUUUUGGUGGAUGAUCUGUACGUAUCUGUAAGUCCUCGUUGAACCUUGUUAUGUCUUAACUCUAUGAAUCUUUGGAGUCAAACUCACAUAAACUAAAACAAAGGUUUAUUUUGAUGAAAUGAAAAUUAGUUCUUUAUCUAGAAUUCACUUAGAUAGUGAGUGUCAUAUCAUUAUAAUUCGGCUUCAAAAUGCUCACAAGGGAAAGUUUAAUCCUUUUAAAAUUGAGAGAUAAUUUUUUUUGAAUGAAGCAAAAUAGAGAACCAAAGUUGUAUUUAUGUCUUACUUUUAUUUUAGGGUUAUUUGUGUUUUAGUCCAUAAAAUUUGGGCUAGUAUUGGUUUUAGUCCCUUGUAUUUUUAUAUCUUUAGAUUAUGUGCAUGGUAUUCAGCAGGUUUGGAUUUGUUUGACUCUAUGAGUAAAUUAAAUUUUACCAUUGUCAAAAACCAAACUCACGAGUAAAUGACUACUUGAUUAUGUAGUAUUUACACAAAACUAUACAUGUCAAGAAUCAAAUAAACUUGAAGUUUGAGUAGAAAGAUAAAAGCUUCAGAAUUACUUUUAAACUUUUUUUUUAUCGGGUAGCAUAGUGGCUAGAAUUCACCUUAUAAGAUGAAUAAGUGGGGUGUUCGGAGUUCGAACCCCAACCCCUACAUAUAAUAAUGCAUUGUCCUACCAAGUGAGCUAUGCUCACAGAACAAUUAAUUAGUUUUAAACUUUAACAUACGUUAUUACACAAUUUAGUUUAUCAGACUAUGGAACACAGUGCGCAAAAAAAAAUAAAAAAUAAAUUCCUUUCACACCCAAACAUCAUCUUAAAUUCCUUUCACACCCAAACAUUAGUUCCUAUGCACGUCAUAUAAACAUAAGUUAUUUACAUGGUUCAAUAUAUAAUGUAACAUUCUUAAUUAUUAUAACUAUAAUUAAAAAAUUCAUUUACUAUACCGUAUAUUCUCCAAAAAAAAUCAUUCGGCACAAGAAAACAGCUGCAGACAGAAAAUAAAACUACCUUGAAAUCUCCAUGCAUGUUACGAUGCAAAUUACAUAUAAAAAGAAAUCACUAUAAAUACAUCAUUUCUUUAAUUUGUCAAAACACAUAUCUUCAAUUCAUUGAUCCAACUUUCCCUUGUAACCUCAAAUUACAAACAUUCCAUUUAUUAAUCAUAAAGCUAUGUCUUUCAUAGCUUCAAAAAUGCUAACACUAAUCAUAUCUGCAUUUGCCAUUGUGCAAAUAACACUAGCUAGUGAUCCAGACAUCCUCACUGAUUUCAUAGCCCCAACUGGAACCCAAGUUGAUGGCAACUUCUUCACAUUCACCGGUUUCCGCGCACUUCUUCCACCAAACAUACAGCCCUCAACUUUCAAAGCCUUGAAAGCAAGCAAAGCAGAAUUUCCAGCUCUUGACGGACAAAGUGUCGCAUAUGCUGCUCUAAUAUACCCACCUGGAACCAUCAAUCCACCACACACACACCCUCGUUCAGCCGAGCUACUCUUCCUCGCGAAAGGUUCCCUGAAUGUUGGUUUUGUGGACACCACUAAUAAGCUAUUCACUCAAACACUACAACCCGGUGACAUGUUUGUGUUUCCAAAGGGACUUGUUCAUUUUCAGUUCAAUGCUGAUACUUCAAAACCUGCUUUGGCUUUUUCUGCCUUUGGUAGUGCUAAUGCUGGAACUAUUUCAAUUGCUAGCACAUUGUUUAAUUCUACCAUUGAUGACAAUGUCUUGGCUUUGGCUUUCAAGACUGAUGUUGCAACAGUUCAGACGUUGAAGAAAGGAUUUUCUUCUUAAGGAUUAUGAUAAUGGCUU